UACGGAGGGUGCAAGCGUUAUCCGGAUUCACUGGGUUUAAAGGGUGCGUAGGCGGGCAGGUAAGUCCGUGGUGAAAUCUCUGAGCUUAACUCAGAAACUGCCAUGGAUACUAUUGUCUUGAAUAUUGUGGAGGUAAGCGGAAUAUGUCAUGUAGCGGUGAAAUGCUUAGAUAUGACAUAGAACACCAAUUGCGAAGGCAGCUUACUACACAGUUAUUGACGCUGAGCACGAAAGCGUGGGGAUCAAACAGG
rnacentral:rRNA from 1 species